AGGGCAAACCCGUCGAAAGGCGGGGACGCAAAGCCACCGGCCUAACGCGCAUCAGCGCCACGGCAGCGGGGUUGCCAA
rnacentral:ncRNA from 1 species